GAUGAACGCUGGCUGCGUGCCUAAUACAUGCAAGUCGAGCGAACGGACGAGAAGCUUGCUUCUCUGAUGUUAGCGGCGGACGGGUGAGUAACACGUGGAUAACCUACCUAUAAGACUGGGAUAACUUCGGGAAACCGGAGCUAAUACCGGAUAAUAUUUUGAACCGCAUGGUUCAAAAGUGAAAGACGGUCUUGCUGUCACUUAUAGAUGGAUCCGCGCUGCAUUAGCUAGUUGGUAAGGUAACGGCUUACCAAGGCAACGAUGCAUAGCCGACCUGAGAGGGUGAUCGGCCACACUGGAACUGAGACACGGUCCAGACUCCUACGGGAGGCAGCAGUAGGGAAUCUUCCGCAAUGGGCGAAAGCCUGACGGAGCAACGCCGCGUGAGUGAUGAAGGUCUUCGGAUCGUAAAACUCUGUUAUUAGGGAAGAACAUAUGUGUAAGUAACUGUGCACAUCUUGACGGUACCUAAUCAGAAAGCCACGGCUAACUACGUGCCAGCAGCCGCGGUAAUACGUAGGUGGCAAGCGUUAUCCGGAAUUAUUGGGCGUAAAGCGCGCGUAGGCGGUUUUUUAAGUCUGAUGUGAAAGCCCACGGCUCAACCGUGGAGGGUCAUUGGAAACUGGAAAACUUGAGUGCAGAAGAGGAAAGUGGAAUUCCAUGUGUAGCGGUGAAAUGCGCAGAGAUAUGGAGGAACACCAGUGGCGAAGGCGACUUUCUGGUCUGUAACUGACGCUGAUGUGCGAAAGCGUGGGGAUCAAACAGGAUUGGAUACCCUGGUAGUCCACGCCGUAAACGAUGAGUGCUAAGUGUUAGGGGGUUUCCGCCCCUUAGUGCUGCAGCUAACGCAUUAAGCACUCCGCCUGGGGAGUACGACCGCAAGGUUGAAACUCAAAGGAAUUGACGGGGACCCGCACAAGCGGUGGAGCAUGUGGUUUAAUUCGAAGCAACGCGAAGAACCUUACCAAAUCUUGACAUCCUUUAACAACUCUAGAGAUAGAGCCUUCCCCUUCGGGGGACAAAGUGACAGGUGGUGCAUGGUUGUCGUCAGCUCGUGUCGUGAGAUGUUGGGUUAAGUCCCGCAACGAGCGCAACCCUUAAGCUUAGUUGCCAUCAUUAAGUUGGGCACUCUAAGUUGACUGCCGGUGACAAACCGGAGGAAGGCGGGGAUGACGUCAAAUCAUCAUGCCCCUUAUGAUUUGGGCUACACACGUGCUACAAUGGACAAUACAAAGGGCAGCGAAACCGCGAGGUCAAGCAAAUCCCAUAAAGUUGUUCUCAGUUCGGAUUGUAGUCUGCAACUCGACUACAUGAAGCUGGAAUCGCUAGUAAUCGUAGAUCAGCAUGCUACGGUGAAUACGUUCCCGGGUCU
rnacentral:rRNA from 1 species